GACGAACGCUGGCGGCGUGCCUAAUACAUGCAAGUAGAACGCUGAAGAGAGGAGCUUGCUCUUCUUGGAUGAGUUGCGAACGGGUGAGUAACGCGUAGGUAACCUGCCUGGUAGCGGGGGAUAACUAUUGGAAACGAUAGCUAAUACCGCAUAACAACAGUUGUUGCAUGACAGCUGUUUAAAAGAUGCAAUUGCAUCACUACCAGAUGGACCUGCGUUGUAUUAGCUAGUUGGUGAGGUAACGGCUCACCAAGGCGACGAUACAUAGCCGACCUGAGAGGGUGAUCGGCCACACUGGGACUGAGACACGGCCCAGACUCCUACGGGAGGCAGCAGUAGGGAAUCGUCGGCAAUGGGGGGAACCCUGACCGAGCAACGCCGCGUGAGUGAAGAAGGUUUUCGGAUCGUAAAGCUCUGUUGUAAGAGAAGAACGGGUGUGAGAGUGGAAAGUUCACACUGUGACGGUAUCUUACCAGAAAGGGACGGCUAACUACGUG
rnacentral:rRNA from 1 species